GGAUUAGAUACCCUGGUAGUCCACACCGUAAACUAUGAUCACUAGAUGUUGGCGAUAUACAGUCAGUGUCUAAGAGAAAUCGUUAAGUGAUGCACCUGGGGAGUACGUUCGCAAGAAUGAAACUCAAAGGAAUUGACGGGGGCCCGCACAAGCGGUGGAGCAUGUGGUUUAAUUCGAUGAUACGCGAGGAACCUUACCAAGACUUAAAUGUAAAACGACCGACCGAGAGAUCAGUCUUUUUUCGAACGGUUUACAAGGUGCUGCAUGGUUGUCGUCAGCGUGCCGCU
rnacentral:rRNA from 1 species